rnacentral:rRNA from 1 species
UACGUAGGGUGCAAGCGUUGUCCGGAAUUAUUGGGCGUAAAGAGCUCGUAGGCGGCCUGUCGCGUCGACUGUGAAAACCCAGGGCUCAACCCUGGGCCUGCAGUCGAUACGGGCAGGCUAGAGUGCAGUAGGGGAGACUGGAAUCCCUGGUGUAGCGGUGAAAUGCGCAGAUAUCAGGAGGAACACCGGUGGCGAAGGCGGGUCUCUGGGCUGUAACUGACGCUGAGGAGCGAAAGCGUGGGGAGCGAACCGG